rnacentral:rRNA from 1 species
AACGAACGCUGGCGGCAUGCCUAACACAUGCAAGUCGAACGAGACCUUCGGGUCUAGUGGCGCACGGGUGCGUAACGCGUGGGAACCUGCCCUUAGGUUCGGAAUAACUCCCCGACAGGGGUGCUAAUACCGGAUAAUGUCUUCGGACCACAGAUUUAUCGCCUUUGGAUGGGCCCGCGUUGGUUUAGCUUGUUGGUAGGGUAAAAGCCUACCAAGGCGACGAUCCAUAGCUGGUCUGAGAGGAUGAUCAGCCACACUGGGACUGAGACACGGCCCAGACUCCUACGGGAGGCAGCAGUGGGGAAUAUUGGACAAUGGGCGAAAGCCUGAUCCAGCAAUGCCGCGUGAGUGAUGAAGGCCUUAGGGUUGUAAAGCUCUUUUACCCGGGAUGAUAAUGACAGUACCGGGAGAAUAAGCACCGGCUAACUCCGUG